rnacentral:rRNA from 1 species
UACGAAAGGGGGGCUAGCGUUGCUCGGAAUCACUGGGCGUAAAGGGUGCGUAGGCGGGUCUUUUAAGUCAGGGGGUGAAAUCCUGGAGCUCAACUCCAGAACUGCCUUCGAUACUGAGAGUCUCGAGUCCGGGGAGAGGUGAGUGGAACUGCGAGUGUAGAGGUGAAAUUCGUAGAUAUUCGCAAGAACACCAGUGGCGAAGGCGGCUCACUGGCCCGGUACUGACGCUGAGGUGCGAAAGCGUGGGGAGCAAACAGG